rnacentral:tRNA from 1 species
ACCUGGUUGGCUUAGUCAGUGGAGCAUGUGACUCUUGAUCUGGGGAUUGUGGGUCCAAGCCCCACAUCGGGUG